GGAUGUUGGCUUAGAAGCAGCCACCAUUUAAAGAGUGCGUAAUAGCUCACUGGUCGAGAGACCCUGCGCCGAAGAUUACCGGGGCUAAAGUACGAAACCGAAGCUGUGGCUACGACGUAAGUCGUGGGGUAGGGGAGCGUUCUGUGAGGGCUGAAGUCGUUCUGUAAGGAACGGUGGACUUCACAGAAGUGAGAAUGUUGGUAUGAGUAGCGAAAAGAAUGGUGAGAAUCCAUUCCACCGAAAGCAUAAGGAUUCCUGGGCAACGAUCGUCGUCCCAGGGUAAGUCGGGACCUAAUCCGAGGCAUGGAGCGUAGGAGAUGGACAACUGGCAGAUAUUCCAGUACCGGUAAUGAUUGUUUGAGCGAUGGAGUGACACAGGAGGGCAGGCAGGCAGGAGAUUGGUUGUUCCUGUACAAGCGUGUAGGGUGGAACGUAGGCAAAUCCGCGUUCUGAGAGCCUGAGGCGUGAUGUGGAGGUUCCGGAAACGGAACUGAAGCUGCUGACCCCACACUGUCGAGAAAAGCUUCUAGUUAGAGAAUUACCGCCCGUACCGUAAACCGACACAGGUAUGCGGGGAGAGAAUCCUAAGGUGCGCGGGAGAACCCUCGUUAAGGAACUCGGCAAAAUGUACCCGUAACUUCGGGAUAAGGGUAGCCGCUGUUGUGAAGUCUGAACAGAUGGAGCAUGAGGCGGUCGCAGAGAAGAGGCCCAAGCGACUGUUUACCACAAACACAGGUGCCUGCUAAAGAGAAAUCUGACGUAUAGGUGCUGACACCUGCCCAGUGCCGGAAGGUUAAGGAAGGAUGUCCGGAGCAAUCCAAAGCAUUCGACCGAAGCCCCGGUGAACGGCGGCCGUAACUAUAACGGUCCUAAGGUAGCGAAAUUCCUUGUCGGGUAAGUUCCGACCCGCACGAAAGGUGUAACGAUUUGGGCACUGUCUCAACGAGGGACCCGGUGAAAUUGAAGUACCUGUGAAGAUGCAGGUUACCCGCGACUGGACAGAAAGACCCCAUGGAGCUUUACUGUAACCUGACAUUGGGUUCUGAUACAUCACGUACAGGAUAGGUGGGAGGCAUGGAAGCGAGGACGCUAGUCUUCGUGGAGCCGCCGUUGGGAUACCACCCUUGAUGUAUCGGAAUUCUAACCGUAGGAGUAACGAAACUCGGGACAGUGUCAGGCGGGCAGUUUGACUGGGGCGGUCGCCUCCCAAAGAGUAACGGAGGCGCCCAAAGGUUCCCUCAGCGCGGCCGGAAAUCGCGCGAAGAGUGUAAAGGCAGAAGGGAGCUUGACUGAGAGCCAAACACGGCGAUCAGGUACGAAAGUAGGGCUUAGUGAUCCGGUGGCAUCCAAGUGGAAGGGCCAUCGCUCAACGGAUAAAAGCUACCCUGGGGAUAACAGGCUAAUCUCUCCCAAGAGUCCAUAUCGACGGGGAGGUUUGGCACCUCGAUGUCGGCUCAUCACAUCCUGGGGCUGAAGUCGGUCCCAAGGGUUGGGCUGUUCGCCCAUUAAAGUGGUACGUGAGCUGGGUUCAGAACGUCGUGAGACAGUUCGGUCCCUAUCCAUCGCGGGCGCAAGAGAUUUGAAGGGGGCUGCUCCUAGUACGAGAGGACCGGAGUGGACGAACCAAUGGUGUACCAAUUAUCUCGCCAGAGGUAUAGUUGGGUAGCUACGUUCGGAAAGGAUAAACGCUGAAAGCAUCUAAGCGUGAAACCAGCCUUAAGAUGAGAUCUCUCAUAGAGUAAUCUAGUAAGACACCUUGGAGAAGACGAGGUUGAUAGGUCGGGAGUGUAAGUACAGUAAUGUAUUCAGCGGACCGAUACUAAUAUGUCGAGGGCUUGACUUA
rnacentral:rRNA from 1 species